rnacentral:rRNA from 1 species
GACAGAGGGUGCGAACGUUGUUCGGAAUUACUGGGCGUAAAGCGCGUGUAGGCGGCAGCGCAAGUCGGGCGUGAAAUCCCACGGCUCAACCGUGGAAGUGCACUCGAAACUGCGCAGCUAGAGUCCUGGAGAGGAAGGUGGAAUGCUUGGUGUAGAGGUGAAAUUCGUAGAUAUCAAGCGGAACACCGGUGGCGAAGGCGGCCUCUGGACAGUGACUGACGGCUGAGACGCGAAAGCGUGGGGAGCAAACAGGGAUUAAGAUACCCCGU